rnacentral:rRNA from 1 species
GCGAACAGGAUUAGAUACCCUGGUAGUCCACGCUGUAAACGAUGUCGAUUUGGAGGUUGUGCCCUUGAGGCGUGGCUUCCGGAGCUAACGCGUUAAAUCGACCGCCUGGGGAGUACGGCCGCAAGGUUAAAACUCAAAUGAAUUGACGGGGGCCCGCACAAGCGGUGGAGCAUGUGGUUUAAUUCGAUGCAACGCGAAGAACCUUACCUACUCUUGACAUCCAGAGAACUUUCCAGAGAUGGAUUGGUGCCUUCGGGAACUCUGAGACAGGUGCUGCAUGGCUGUCGUCAGCUCGUGUUGUGAAAUGUUGGGUUAAGUCCCGCAACGAGCGCAACCCUUAUCCUUUGUUGCCAGCGGUUCGGCCGGGAACUCAAAGGAGACUGCCAGUGAUAAACUGGAGGAAGGUGGGGAUGACGUCAAGUCAUCAUGGCCCUUACGAGUAGGGCUACACACGUGCUACAAUGGCAUAUACAAAGAGAAGCGACCUCGCGAGAGCAAGCGGACCUCAUAAAGUAUGUCGUAGUCCGGAUUGGAGUCUGCAACUCGACUCCAUGAAGUCGGAAUCGCUAGUAAUCGUAGAUCAGAAUGCUACGGUGAAUACGUUCCCGGGCCUUGUACACACCGCCCGUCACACCAUGGGAGUGGGUUGCAAAAGAAGUAGGUAGCUUAACCUUCGGGAGGGCGCUUACCACUUUGUGAUUCAUGACUGGGG